GGAAAGUUUCGGCGGUUGGGGAUGGACUCGCGGCUUAUCAGCUUGUUGGUGGGGUAGUGGCUUACCAAGGCUUUGACGGGUAGCCGGCCUGAGAGGGUGACCGGCCACAUUGGGACUGAGAUACGGCCCAGACUCCUACGGGAGGCAGCAGUGGGGAAUAUUGCACAAUGGGCGGAAGCCUGAUGCAGCAACGCCGCGUGCGGGAUGACGGCCUUCGGGUUGUAAACCGCUUUCGCCUGUGACGAAGCGUGAGUGACGGUAAUGGGUAAAGAAGCACCGGCUAACUACGUGCCAGCAGCCGCGGUGAUACGUAGGGUGCGAGCGUUGUCCGGAUUUAUUGGGCGUAAAGGGCUCGUAGGUGGUUGAUCGCGUCGGAAGUGUAAUCUUGGGGCUUAACCCUGAGCGUGCUUUCGAUACGGGUUGACUUGAGGAAGGUAGGGGAGAAUGGAAUUCCUGGUGGAGCGGUGGAAUGCGCAGAUAUCAGGAGGAACACCAGUGGCGAAGGCGGUUCUCUGGGCCUUUCCUGACGCUGAGGAGCGAAAGCGUGGGGAGCGAACAGGCUUAGAUACCCUGGUAGUCCACGCUGUAAACGGUGGGUACUAGGUGUGGGGUCCAUUCCACGGGUUCCGUGCCGUAGCUAACGCUUUAAGUACCCCGCCUGGGGAGUACGGCCGCAAGGCUAAAACUCAAAGGAAUUGACGGGGCCCCGCACAAGCGGCGGAGCAUGCGGAUUAAUUCGAUGCAACGCGUAGAACCUUACCUGGGUUUGACAUGGAUCGGGAGCGCUCAGAGAUGGGUGU
rnacentral:rRNA from 1 species